GGCGGACGGGUGAGUAACACGUGGGUAACCUGCCUGUAAGACUGGGAUAACUCCGGGAAACCGGGGCUAAUACCGGAUGCUUGUUUGAACCGCAUGGUUCAAACAUAAAAGGUGGCUUCGGCUACCACUUACAGAUGGACCCGCGGCGCAUUAGCUAGUUGGUGAGGUAAUGGCUCACCAAGGCAACGAUGCGUAGCCGACCUGAGAGGGUGAUCGGCCACACUGGGACUGAGACACGGCCCAGACUCCUACGGGAGGCAGCAGUAGGGAAUCUUCCGCAAUGGACGAAAGUCUGACGGAGCAACGCCGCGUGAGUGAUGAAGGUUUUCGGAUCGUAAAGCUCUGUUGUUAGGGAAGAACAAGUACCGUUCGAAUAGGGCGGUACCUUGACGGUACCUAACCAGAAAGCCACGGCUAACUACGUGCCAGCAGCCGCGGUAAUACGUAGGUGGCAAGCGUUGUCCGGAAUUAUUGGGCGUAAAGGGCUCGCAGGCGGUUCCUUAAGUCUGAUGUGAAAGCCCCCGGCUCAACCGGGGAGGGUCAUUG
rnacentral:rRNA from 1 species